CAGCAGCCGCGGGAAUACGGAGGGUGCAAGCGUUAUCCGGAUUCACUGGGUUUAAAGGGUGCGUAGGCGGAUCUGUAAGUCAGUGGUGAAAUCUCCAGGCUUAACCUGGAAACUGCCGUUGAUACUAUAGGUCUUGAAUUUUGUGGAGGUUAGCGGAAUAUGUCAUGUAGCGGUGAAAUGCAUAGAUAUGACAUAGAACACCAAUUGCGAAGGCAGCUGGCUACACAACUAUUGACGCUGAGGCACGAAAGCGUGGGGAUCAAACAGGAUUAGAUACCCCCGUAGUCCCUGUCUCUUAUAA
rnacentral:rRNA from 1 species